CGACUCCGUCUUCAUCAGUUCAGGAAGGACAGAACGUCUGAAAGACAACAACAAAUCUCUACCAACACCAGGCGUUAGCCGGUACCAACCAGCACAAGAACUUAACGCUGAACCGCAGCGGGCAUAGGAUAAAUAAUGGAUCGAUAUGGGAACCUGGAUUUGGAUUUGGAGUGUGAUGGAGGCGGCGUAUCUCAAAAAGCUUCAUUAUUCAGUGGGAUGUUCAAGAAAUCCUCCAAGUCUGGAGAAUCGUCUGUCCAAGUUCAG